GCCGAAGUGGUGAAAUUGGUAGACACGCUAGCUUGAGGGGUUAGUGACUUUACAGUCGUGCCGGUUCAAGUCCGGCCUUCGGCACCA
rnacentral:tRNA from 1 species